UUCCGUUUUUUCCCUCAAUCUUUGAACUUCCCACAGAAAAUCAUCAACUUUCAAUUUUUCCUAAUUAUCCCAUGUCGGGUUUUCCGGCCAAUUUCGAGUACACGUGGAACCGGAAUUAAAUGACGUGGAAUCGCCGGAUUCUUAACAAAACGACGCAGUAUCUAAGAAUUCCUUCCAAAUCUUGCAAGGAUUGAAGAAAAUAUCUUGGGCGUUUGCUUUAACUGAAGAAUCCGCAGCUCUAGCAUGGGGCUCAAUCGAUCUUCCGGCAGCUCGACCUCAAAAUAUGAUUUUGAGAGAAAUCAAGAGAAGAUGUGUAUGUGCAAGGUUCCUGCCGUGAUUUUGACGUCGAGGACGACGACAAAUCCGUUUCGGCGUUAUUAUUGUUGUCGGUACCAUCAUCAGGAAAUGGACUGCCGAUUUUUUGAUUGGAUUGAUCCAGAAAUGUCCACAUUCCAGAGAGGGUGUGUCAACAAAGUUCGACGUGAAAGAGAAAUUGCAGAGGAACAAAUCGAAGUAUUGCAGAAUGAAUUCAAAAAACUGAAAUGCCAUAACAAGCGGCUGAAACUGAUCAUGAUUUGUAUCAUCGUUUAUUGGGCAAUAGCAUGGAUGUAGUUUGUUGAAUUCUUAAGUUUUUUUCACCUG